rnacentral:rRNA from 1 species
UGGGGAAUAUUGGACAAUGGGCGAAAGCCUGAUCCAGCAAUGCCGCGUGAGUGAUGAAGGCCUUAGGGUUGUAAAGCUCUUUUACCCGGGAUGAUAAUGACAGUACCGGGAGAAUAAGCCCCGGCUAACUCCGUGCCAGCAGCCGCGGUAAUACGGAGGGGGCUAGCGUUGUUCGGAAUUACUGGGCGUAAAGCGCACGUAGGCGGCUUUGUAAGUUAGAGGUGAAAGCCCGGGGCUCAACUCCGGAAUUGCCUUCGAUACUGGCGAUCUUGAGUCCGGAAGAGGUGAGUGGAACUCCUAGUGUAGAGGUGGAAUUCGUAGAUAUUAGGAAGAACACCAGUGGCGAAGGCGACUUACUGGACACAUAUUGACGCUGAGGUGCGAAAGCGUGGGGAGCAAACA